rnacentral:lncRNA from 10 species
GGGAUUACAGGUGUGAGCCACCGCAUCUGGCCUCAUUUCAUCUUUCCAUCCCUUUUGAGUGUACAAUUCAGUGGCAUUCAGUUCAUUUACAUUGUUGUGCAACCAUCAUCACCACCCAUCUCCAGAACUUUUCCAUCAUUCCAAACCGAAACUCAAAAUGCAUUAAAGAAUAACUUUCCACUAACUCCUCCCUCCAGUCCCUGAUAGCCACCCUCCUACUUUCUGCCCUUACGCAUUUAACUAUUCUAGGCACCUCAUGUAGAUGGCUCAUGUCAUACUUGUCCUUUUGGGUCUGGUUUAUUUUACUCAGUAUAAUGUCCUCAAGCUUCAUUCAUAACACAUUUUGUUUAUCCAUUCAUUCUUUGAUGGCCAUUUGGGUUGUUUCCACCUUUUGGUUGUUGUGAAUAACGCUGCUAUGGAUAGUCCCUGCUUUCAAGUGUUUUGGACGUAUGGUAUAUCUAACUGAAAGUGCUGGGCUGUAUUGUAAUACUAUGUUUAAUUUUUUUUAGAAAUGACUAUAUCAUCUUCUUUCUUUUUUGUAGUGAGGCAAGGAAUCAUUAUUAUUAUUUUAAUUUCAACUUUUACUUUUGAUUCAGGGGAUACAGGUGCACUUCUGUUACCUGGGUAUAUUGUGUAAUGCUGAGGUUUGGGGGACAAUUGAUCCCAUCACCCAGGUACUGAGCAUAGCAGACCCAAUAGGUAAUUUUCUUUAUUUUUUAUUUUAAGUUCCAGGAUACAUGUGUAGGUUUGUUACAUAGGUAAAUAUGUGCCAUGGUGGUUUGCUGCACCUAUCAAGCCAUCACCUAGGUAUUAAGCCCAGCACUCCCACAACAGGCCUCAGCAUGUGUUGUUCCCCUUCAUGUGUCCAAGUGUUCUCAUUGUUCAGCUACCAAUCAUAAGUGAGAACAUAUGAUGUUUGGUUUUCUGUUCCUGUGUUAGUUUGCUGAGGAUAAAGGUUUCCAGCUCCACCCAUGUCCCUGCAAAGAACAUGAUCUCAUUCCUUUUUAUGGUUGCAUAGUGUUCUGUGGUGUAUGUGUACCACAUUUUCUUUAUCCAGUCUAUCAUCAAUGGGUAUUUGGGUUGAUUUCAUCUCUUUGCUAUCAUGAAUAGUGCUGCAAUGAACAUACACAUGCAUGUAUCUUUAUAACAGAAUGAUUUAUAUCCCAUUGGGUAUAUAACCAUAAUGGGAUUGCUGGGUCAAAUGGUAUUUCUGGUUCUAAAUCUUUGAGGAAGUGCCACACUGUCCUCCACAAUGGUUGAACUAAUUUACAUUCCCACCAACAGCGUAAAAGCAUUCCUAUUUCUCCACAACCUCGCCAGCAUCUGUUUCUUGACUUUUUAAUAAUCGCUGCUCUGACUGUCAUUUUCAACCCUUGCUCCCCUCCAUGCCUCCCCACCUCUAGUAGUCUUGUGCCUAUUCUUGCCAUCUUUAUGUCCAUGAGUAUCCAUUGUUUAGCUCCUACUUGUAAGUGAGAACAUAUGGUAUUUGGUUUUCUGUUUCUACAUUAAUUCGCUUAGGAUAAUGGCCUUCAGCUGCCUCCAUGUUACUAGCAACGACAUGAUUUAGUUCUUUUUAUGGCUGCAUAGAAUUCCAUGGUGUAUAUGCACCACAUUUUCUUUUUUUUUUUCUUUUUUUAUUAUUAUUAUAC